AGCUGUUAUCUAGUCCGCAGCGGAACGUAGCCAUCACGAGUGGGCGCAGCGCCUGACACAAAAGUAUCGAUCCGAAGCCAAUGCUCUGGUGCAGGCGCUAUGUUCCUGACCCACUUGCUUAUUCCUGCUGAGCCUGAUAUGGAAGCUGUGCUAACCCUUUUCAAUGGAGUCUCGUCGCUGCCUUUAUAGUGCUCAAAUAAUGGCUACAGAAAUAUAUCAGGACGUAACAGUGACUGAUGUUUACGACCAAGCGGCGGGUAUCGCUAGAGAGUUUGAUAAACUCAUAAAUAAUUACGGUAAUGAUGCUGUCACAGAAUUGAUGCCCAAAGUGAUUCGAGCCCUAGAGCAGCUGGAAUCCCUCGCUACCCGUUUUGAAAGAGACAACGAUGAAAUCGCGCAACUGAGGUCAACAGUUGAGAAGCUUGAAUUAGAGAAAACAGGAAAAGCGCAGGAGCGUGCUAAGUUUGAGCAGGAGAUGGAACAGACAGAAGAGAACUGGAAGACAGAAGUGAGAGAACUAUUGACAGUGGUGGGUAAACUUCAAGAAGAGAACAAGAGGUUGAAGGAGACACUCCAUUAUGAGAAGUAUUCUGUAGCCGAAAAGGUUUCAGCAAAGCACCGAGAGACUGAGGAACAAGAGAUCAAAGUCCUCACAAAGCUGAAAGAAACUGUGGACAAGCAGAGGGAGGAGCUGCGCUCAUUGAAGCAUGAACUUUCAGAAAAAGCAAUGGACUGUGAUGCACUGCAAGCCCAGGUGGAGCAAAUAGCCAAAGUGAACACCGACCUGAGGAGGAAAAACAACACACAGAGAAAACAAGCCCGAGCCUUGCUGGAAGAGAAGUCUGAGCUGGAGAUAGCCUUGCGAGAGAAAGAUGCUGAGGUGGACAAGGUCAAGAUCAUGCUUUCCGAGCAAGAGAAAUUUGAAGAGCAGAGAGCAGCUGUACGAGCUGCCAUACAGGAGCAGAGAGAAAGCGAAGAGCGAACUGAAGAAGAGGAGGAUUCUCCUUUCUCAGAUGAUGUCACUGCAACAGUUAUGACAGAUUCUUCAACAACAGCCACAUCUUCAUCCCCUGAAAUUGACCGUCGGACAGCUUCCGUGAACUCAUUAGGGUUGGACUUGGAAGGCAAACUGAUCAUUGACAUGAAAGAUCCCAACCGCCCACGAUUUACGAUGCAAGAGUUGCGACAGGUGCUUUUUGAACGCAAUGAGCUGAAGACGCGACUCUUCGAGGUAGAGGAAGAACUCAAUCACUAUCGCCCACGAAAUCCUGGUGCACCAGAGGAUGAAAAUCAAGAUGAAUCGUUUGAACAAAUGCCACAGCUGCAUAUAACCUCUACAGCAAGUUUAAACAUCACAUUCAUGAUAUUCCGUGCUCAGGUGUGGUUUUACAGAAAGGUAGUAGAGUGGUACACCUGCUUUACUUCGUUUUCCAAAUCCAUUAACAACAGCUUGAUAUUCCGUGCUCAGGUGUGGUUUUACAGAAAGGUAGUAGAGUGGUACACCUGCUUUACUUCGUUUUCCAAAUCCAUUAACAACAGGAAAUCCUCUUACUCAGGUGAAGAAGUGCUGGUGUAUGGGCCCAUUAACAAGGAACCCGAUGAAAAGCUUUUUGGACGCAAAGAAUCUGGCAUCAGGAAAUUAUUUUUAUCCUUGCUUGAGGCUGGGUUAGAUCUGUUAGGAGACACCUCAGAUAUUCAAAUACCUCCUCCUGCAGCAGCUCCAGAAACGGUGCCCCUGAAUACAGUUAGGACCUAUAGGCAGCUCUCCUGCUUUGGUCAGCCAACAGGCUCCAAAGAAACCAUGUUUUGAUCUGGCACCACUGUGUGGGCAGCCUUCACACCUACCUAGAGUGUUUUGAGUUUUGAUUUUUUGUUUGGGAAUGGUCCCUCACCACCCAAGGGCAGAGUUCAGAGAUCCAACACGUUCAUGAACUGACAUGCAGUCGUUCGCCAUGUGUCACCGACACCAAGGAGCAUUUGUACCACCAUCACUUCAGCCAUUGCGUUGUUGGUGACGAUGCACAACAUUCCUUCUCAAGUGCCUGCAAAGUCGACGACAAGGCUGAUAUAGGCAUGGUCUUUUUCCAGCCAGCUGCACUGUGGGAAAAUGACAGCCAAUAGAGAGGACAUCACUGAAAAUUCUGUUUGAUCUUCAACUGUCUGCAUUGUCAGGAAAUGGCUAGCUUCAGACAAGUUUAUACAAACUGAAUACUGUUUAUCGUCUGCUCUACACAACAUAGAUAAAAGAACAAAGGUUUAUCACCCUGAGAGAUUAACAUUAUAAUAACAUUUCUUUUUUGGUUUUUUCUUGCAAGCCUCUGGAUGGGCUGCAGAAAAUAUUUACUACCCAAAAUGCUCUUGAUUUGGUACCUGAUUUGCGAGCAGUUCAAAUAUUCAUCGCUCUUACACCUGUUGCAUCACAACAUAGCUGACGUCUCUUAUGUUGCUGUAGGGAUGUUGGUUUCAUGAAACUUUAUUCAUGCCAACCAGUGCAUUGUGGAUUCCAAAAUUAUCUACACAAGAUCAACAGAUUUAAGAAAGGAAGCUGUCAAAUCUGUCAGCCCCACUCUCUCUCUCCGAGAAGGUUCACAUUAAUAUAGUGUGGCUAGACAUUUCCCAUGCUGUGCACAAAACGGUGAAACUUUGUUGCCCUUGAAUGUGAUAUGAAAGCGGUGGGAGAACUUAGCUGUUGUUCUGAUUGAGACAUGCUGAGGGACCAGUCUGCAAACAAAAAACUGUGAUAAAUGCAUACUGUUGCUUUUUGUCUUAUUUCAGGACUGUAUUGCGUAGUUGUAGAUAAAGUACCUUGUGAUGUGAUGUGUAUGUGACUGUGAAAGAGAUGAAUGCUUCCAAACUUUCAAAACUGUUGGAUUCCCACUCACACCCCAUUCUUUUAUAUUUCCUGCUGUCCAGUAAUUGGUCAACUUUGAAAUCUUUUCAGAAAUCUUGUAAACUGAACAGUCAGCAAUCGCAGUAAAAUUUUGUUAACAAUCUAAAAUAGGCCAUCAAUUUAAAGAUCACAUACUUUGUGGUAAGAUUUUAAAGCAGAGGAACAGAGAUAAAAAUUUAUAUGGUUUUGAUAGUUUUAUUUAGGAUGUAAAUUUGAUUUCAGAUCCUUUAUAUGAACUAUUCUUUUAUGGUCAAGACAAAAUAGAGCGAUAAAAUGUGUGUGAGUGGAAUGGGUGUGUGGAAAUAAAAUGCAUAUAUGGAGGUAUUGUAUACUGCAUUUGCAUGAGGAGUGAAAGGAUAAAACAUAAUUUUUAUCAUUAUAUUCUAGUUUUUAUUUACAACAUUUAUUUCCUUACAAGAUUUGUAUGCUUUUACUACUGAAUGUGGGCUUAAUUAUGGCAAACUGUUUCUAUGGGAAAUUGGCCAAUACUUCACUAGCAUAUUAAAAGUGGGACAUUUUAUGGCAUAAUUCAUCUGACUUUCUAACACAAUGGCUCCAGCUGUCAAAUGUAGUUGACAUGCAGCUUUACACACAGUAAAUACCUUUGGUGAAGGGUGUUGACGCUUAUGUGUAUGCAAUGUAUUUGGAAAUAGCUGAACUUAAAAUUUAACCAACCAGGGUGAAGGCAGAGCUAGUCAUGGAUGGCCUUUAACCCAUGCCUGCUAUAAGACAUGUUGGAUUGUGUUGUUUUUGUUUGGUUUAUUUGCAUCAUGCUUACAGAGACUCCACUAUGGCUGUUUGCAUACCUUAGAGAUUAUGUUGAUAACAAGGUGUUCUGUCUGCGUAUCCAUGUGCGGUUUCAUAAAAUGAUUGUUGAAAGUUUUUUGUGUAGGAGAGAGUAAAAAGCAGCAGUCCUCAUUUUGGGUCAGCCAUGCAUCGUGUAAACAAAAUUUGUAAAAAUAGAGCACUAGCGUUGUAGCCAUGGUGAAGAUAGCAUUGGAGGACAGCAAGGAAUAAAAUAAGGUCAAACAGGAGAAGGGCACUUCUUGUUGCAGCCCUCUUUCCUCCAUCAUUCUGACUGAAGAAAUAAAUAAGAUGCAAAAGC